AGCAGCCGCGGUAAUUCCAGCUCCAAUAGCGUAUAUUAAAGUUGUUGCAGUUAAAAGCUCGUAGUUGAAUUUCGGGAUCAAUAUGUUGGUCGUGCCUUGGUACGUACUGGCAUUAUUGAUUCUUACCUUCUGAAGAAUCUCGAUGUCAUUAAUUUGGUGUCUUGGAGAAUCAGGACUGUUACUUUGAAAAAUUGAGUGUUUAAAGCAGGCUCGCGCUUGAAUACAUUAGCAUGGAAUAAUGAAAUAGGACGUUUGAUUCUAUUUUGUUGGUUUCUAGGAUUGACGUAAUGAUUAAUAGGGAUAGUUGGGGGCAUUAGUAUUCAAUUGUCAGAGGUGAAAUUCUUGGAUUUAUUGAAGACUAACUACUGCGAAAGCAUUUGCCAAGGAUGUUUCAUUAAUCAAGAACGAAAGUUAGGGGAUCGAAGACGAUCAGAUACCGUCGUAGUCUUAACCAUAAACUAUGCCGACUAGGGAUCGGAUGAUGUUAAUUUUUAAUGA
rnacentral:misc_RNA from 1 species